UACGGAGGGUCCAAGCGUUAUCCGGAAUCAUUGGGUUUAAAGGGUCCGUAGGCGGUUUUGUAAGUCAGUGGUGAGAGCCCAUCGCUCAACGGUGGAACGGCCAUUGAUACUGCAAGACUUGAAUUAUUAGGAAGUAACUAGAAUAUGUAGUGUAGCGGUGAAAUGCUUAGAUAUUACAUGGAAUACCAAUUGCGAAGGCAGGUUACUACUAAUGGAUUGACGCUGAUGGACGAAAGCGUGGGGAGCGAACAGG
rnacentral:rRNA from 1 species